rnacentral:lncRNA from 1 species
GUUGGAGCUCCUGAAACUAGAGUUAGAGGUUGUUGGGAACUUCCAGAUAUGUACUCUGGCAAGAGUAUCAAGUGCUUUUAAUUUUUGAGCCAUUUCCUUGAAAAACCAAAAAAAAAAAAAAAAAAAAAAAAGAUGUUUGUUUCAUUAUCCUACUUCUGAGGUUUGGCAUCGUUUUGCCAUUAGACCGGCGGCCUCAGAAUAACCUCACAAUGGCCCGGCAGUGGUUGAGUAUUGAACUGGGUUGUUUGGCUUGUGACCAGUAUGUAUAUGGUAAGUUAAAUUUCUGUACAGUAAGUGUUCAGAUCGCCCUAGCUUUGUGAUAGACUGUAUGCUUUAGUUCCUACCUAGUCAUUCACCUGUGACUUUGUGUCCUGUAAGUGACACAGGUAGUUUUACCUCUGU